rnacentral:rRNA from 1 species
AAUGAACGCUGGCGGCAGGCCUAACACAUGCAAGUCGAACGGGUCCUUCGGGACUAGUGGCGGACGGGUGAGUAACGCGUGGGAACGUGCCCUUUGCUACGGAAUAGCCUCUGGAAACGGAGAGUAAUACCGUAUGUGCCCUUUGGGGGAAAGAUUUAUCGGCAAAGGAUCGGCCCGCGUUGGAUUAGGUAGUUGGUGGGGUAAUGGCCUACCAAGCCGACGAUCCAUAGCUGGUUUGAGAGGAUGAACAGCCACACUGGGACUGCGACACGGCCCAGAAUCCUAAGGGAGGCAGCAGUGGGGAAUCUUAGACAAUGGGGGAAACCCUGAUCUAGCCAUGCCGCGUGAUCGAUGAAGGCCUUAGGGUUGUAAAGAUCUUUCAGGUGGGAAGAUAAUGACGGUACCACCAGAAGAAGCCCCGGCUAACUCCGUGCCAGCAGCCGCCGUAA